UAUCCCCAACGGUGAGGGGAGGUAACACUCUGUCCUAAUACAUCACCGAUAUAGACUGAGACGAGAGAGCACAACACGACAUGCUGUAGUAUAAUGCUGCGCGACAAAGUGCAACCCAGUCUGACACAAUAGGACAUGACAUGAUAGACAACGGGAAAUUACAUUAUACACCUCAUACAAAGCAGCACACGAACAUGUGACAGGGCCACAUCGCGAGGGUCUUACCCAGAGUCACUCUGACACGUGGACUGGAGGAGCUGGAGUUUGUGAACCAACAACCUGUCAAGUGGUAGCCAUACAUAAAGAGAGUAAAGUUCUCAUCCUCUAGCCCGGGGCCAGCCAAAGUGAGAUCCACAGGCCAAGUCUGGACCUUCACACAGAUCAGGCCUUCAAGAAAUUACCCCUGCUGGCUAUGUUUCAGAAAAGAUUAGUCUGUGGUUCGCUCUUUUUAAUGUGCUUUUGUAUAGAAAUGAUUUUCAGAUCCAGAGUUGGAACUUACAUCAAGCAUGGAAUUAAUUCCAAUUUAAAACUUUAAAGAUGGCAUUAUGGAUUAGGUUUGUUACUUUUAUUGCACAGCAGUGUUUGGAGCAUUUUCCCCUCUGUUUUGAAGGUUUAACCUUAGGGAAAAAUGCUAUGACAUCUGGUACUGGUUCCUAAUGUAUUUAUUUAAAAAAAAAAAAAACCCUCAAAAAACACCUAAAAACUUUGUGUCAAAUUUUAACUAAAAUGAUUGCAUUUAUUUGCAAAUCAUUAGGGACAGGGAACAUAUUAAAUGUUGAAACCAAUAAAUGUUAUUGUUUUUCAUCAUGAGCUCAUUUAAAUUUGACGUCAACAA